CCGGCCUUAGCUCAGUUGGUAGUAGCGGCAGACUGUAGGGGUGCCUUCCCUGAAAUGAGUGGCGACGCAGGCAUCUGUAGGUCCCCGGUUUAACUCCGGGAGGCCGGA